GACGUAGGGCGCGAGCGUUGUCCGGAUUUAUUGGGCGUAAAGAGCUCGUAGGCGGUUUGUCGCGUCUGCUGUGAAAGACCGGGGCUCAACUCCGGUUCUGCAGUGGGUACGGGCAGACUAGAGUGCAGUAGGGGAGACUGGAAUUCCUGGUGUAGCGGUGAAAUGCGCAGAUAUCAGGAGGAACACCGAUGGCGAAGGCAGGUCUCUGGGCUGUAACUGACGCUGAGGAGCGAAAGCAUGGGGAGCGAACAGG
rnacentral:rRNA from 1 species